UAAGGAAUAUUGGUCAAUGGACGCAAGUCUGAACCAGCCAUGCCGCGUGAAGGAUGACGGCCCUCUGGGUUGUAAACUUCUUUUAUCUGGGACGAAAAAAGGUCAUUCUUGAUCACUUGACGGUACCAGAGGAAUAAGCACCGGCUAACUCCGUGCCAGCAGCCGCGGUAAUACGGAGGGUGCAGGCGUUAUCCGGAUUUACUGGGUUUAAAGGGUGCGUAGGUGGGUCUGUAAGUCAGUGGUGAAAUCUCCGAGCUUAACUCGGAAACUGCCAUUGAUACUAUAGGUCUUGAAUUAUCUGGAGGUAAGCGGAAUAUGUCAUGUAGCGGUGAAAUGCUUAGAUAUGACAUAGAACACCAAUUGCGAAGGCAGCUUACUACGGAUCGAUUGACACUGAGGCACGAAAGCGUGGGGAUCAAACAGGAUUAGAUACCCUGGUAGUCCACGCCCUAAACGAUGGAUACUCGACAUUUGCGAUAUACUG
rnacentral:rRNA from 1 species